rnacentral:lncRNA from 1 species
UGUGUGUGUGUGUGUGUGUGUGUUUUCAGAAGUCAACACGUGUAACAGUUUUGAUAUUUGCACAAAAACCUUACACACUGUAGGCAUAUUUGUGUACUCAAAUAACAUUUCUGUAAAAACAGACAAGAAAGAAACUGGGAGGCCCCAUGUUUGCUUCUAAUCAGGGAAGUAGAUGCCUGGCGUAGGUAGACACGAGGUGGGUACUCAUUUCUUAUUUUAUGGUGUUUUGACUAUUUUGGGUGAGUGCUAUGAAUGAAUCCUCUGUUCACAAUUGUUAGUAAAAAUGGGUAAUGUUUUGCCACCCAAACUCCCUCUCUCUAGAACUUCAAAGGAGGGGCGUGCUUUUAGACAGACACAGCCAGUGAAUGCCCCUCUGUCAUUAGAAAAGCAGAGAACUGCCUUCUGCAUCUUAAAAGUGCAGCUUAAAAUAGCACACUGCAGAGCUCUGGGCUCAGCCCUGACGACUGCUGGGUAGAAGCCGUCCAGGGAUCAUUUUCCAAAAGCCAAUUUGCAAUUUGCAAUCCUCUGUAAUCCAGAAGUUUGUGUUUCCUGUGUAGAUCUUUAAGAGCCAGAGAAUGGCAGGCUAGUGGGCUGACGGCCCCGCGGAGAGCUGGUGGGAAGUUCAGAGCCAUGGUUCCCCAGACAGCUGCUUCAUUGUCCCCAUUGCUACGCUCCGUUUUGGGUUCAGCCUGUGAAGGUUCUGCAGCUGCGUGUGGACAACCCCGCCCCUUCCCCGGGUUGUGCCACUGUUUAUGUUCUGGGACUGUUAUGGUUUAUCUGAGCUCCAAAUAAUCAGGAUACAAUUUACAGACCACAUGAAGCUCAAUAAGAAGGAAGACCAAAGUGUGGGUGCUUCGGUCCUUAGAACAACAAAAUACUCACAGGAGCAAAUAUGGAGAUAAAGCGUUGAGCAGAGACUGAAGGAAAGGCCACCCAGAGACUCUUACCUGGGGAUUUAUCCUGUACACAGUUUCCAAACCCAGACAUUGUGGAUGCCAAAAGUACAUGCUGAAAGGAGCUUGAUAUGGCUGUCUCCUGAGAGGCCCUGCCAGAGCCUUACAGAGGUGGAUGUUCGCAGCCAACCACUGGACUGAGUGCAGGGUCCCCAGUAGAGGAGUUAAAGAAGGUCUGAAGGGGUUGAAGGGGUUUACAACCCCAUAGGAAGAACAACAAUAUCAAGCAACCAACCAACGCCCCCUCAGCCCUCCCCCCAACUCCCAGGGACUAAGCCAUCAACAAAGUAGUAUACACAUGGCUCCAGCUGCAUAUGUAGCAGAUGAUGGACUUGUCAUACAUCAAUGGAGAAGAGGUUCUUGGUCCUAUGAAGGCUCGAUAGAUGCCCCAAUGUAGGGGAAUUGAGGUUGGGGAGGUGGGGGUGGGUGGGUGGAGGAACACCCUCAUAGAAGCAGGGGUUGGAAGGAUGGGAUAGGGGGUUUCCGGGAGGGAGGGAAACUGGGAAAGGGGAUAACAUUUGAAAUGUAAAUAAAGAAAAUAUCCAAUUAAAAAGAAACCAUGUCUUAGUUCCUCCUCAGAGAAGCCUGGCUGGUCCAGCCACCACCCUAGGAGUUGCAAAAUUAACAUCACUUUGUUUUUCUGGAGCAUUUUUUUACCCCCUUCCUUCUCCCCAACAAAUGGCAUAUAUUCUAAAAAGCUUUAUGCAACUAUACAUGCUCUUGUAUAUUUGGGUUUUUCAUAUUAUCAUGCAGCUUAGGUGAUUGCUCCACUGUGUGUGAAAAG